AGGGGACUUUGUGGAAACCUUUGUUCUCAUCCGCAGGGAAAUUGGGUACAAGGACAUCAAUGGUCUGGAAGAAAGAAGUGUUGAUGUGAGCGCUCCAGAGCUGCUAAGAGACAACUAGAUGCCGAGAGGAGCACAACUGCUGCAAGGAAAACCACUCUUGACUGAAACAAGUUGCCCACAGAAGGCUUUUUAAAUUAGGUUUAGUAUUGUCCACUCCAUUUUGAGGGCAUCAGUCCAGUUUUGUGCAGAACAGCCAUGAUUUUGUGUUUUUACCCUAGCACAGAAGUUGUUGAUGGCCUCUGCAGGAAAGCCUCGGCGCCGCAGAGCUGUCAGUGUAAAGAGCCGUGGGUCGUCCCAGUCCCUAGAAAAAGCAGCAACAGCAGUGAGGAGCAGGGAGAUGAGUAGGUACCCCAGACAAUUCCUGCACCCGCCCCCAGUACACAGACAAUUUAGCCCAACCUGCCCCUUACCUGACUGCCCCUGCCUCAACAAGGCGAAUGAUCUUCCGUUUGGAGACAACCGUGUAGAGGAGAUUGAGGCGCCCAUAUUCCCACUGCACAGGGCAGUAUACAUCCAGGGCAUUGCAGAGCCAGAAAUAGGAGGAGCGUCUGCCGUGAGAGAAGGAAACAGUGCUUGUCAAAUCAGGUUUUGAAUAAAGCAGGAGGUGCAAGCCUCAGGCUGGUGAGAGCCAUGUGUUUCUGCGCCUCCCCUUUUCUUAAAUAUUAUUAACUUUCAAUGCCUGUCCAAUUUUUAGUAAAAUAGUUUUUUGAUAGGAGCAGAAGUGCAAAAACAAACAGGAAAAGAGCAGAGAUCAAGGCAACUCCCCUUCCCCUCUUAAUCAUGAGGACUAGAAACCCAUCUUUCCAUAGAGGUGAAAAUCAAAAUCCUCAAAAUACAAUGGGAGAUGCUACUCCUGCACAGAGAAUAAAGGCAUCUCUACACAGUGAGAACUUGUAGUUUCUGUGUUAGUGAGAUGAGUCUAUUGCAGAUUUUAACCAGGACGAGCACUGUGGUCUGCGGAGGAGGCCCUGCUCUCGGUCCCACUCCCGUCUCAAGUGGAGCUGGUGGGGACAAGAGAGGGGGCCUUCUCCAUGAUCCCCCCACCCACCUCUGGGACUCCGUCCCCAAAGAAGUAAAAAUUGCCCCCUCUCUCCUCUCCUUUAAAAAGCUUUUAAAAAGUCAUUUAUGCAAUUUAGCAUAUGGAGAAGAGGAGGACUAGUACAUCUCUAUAUAUAUUCUCGCCUAGAUAUUGAACACCUACCUCAGCCUGUUGGAUGCUGUAUACUACCUUAUGUUUUAAUUGCCUUUUUAGUUUAACUUGUAAUAAUUUUUCAGGUGAUAAUUGUAUGUGAUGUAUUUAAGUAUAAUUUUCCGGGGUUUUUUUGCUAGUUUUAUAAGUUCAUAUUGAUAUUGUUUUACCCACUGUUUUGAUGUGAUUUGUCAUUGUGUUUUCAGCAUUGAAUGUUUACCACUUUGUUAUUUUUGCUGGCAACCACCCUGAGUCCCCUCGGGGAGAUAGGGUGAGUUAUAAAUAAAAUAUUAUUAUUA